AUUGAACGCUGGCGGCAGGCCUAACACAUGCAAGUCGAACGGUAACAGGAAACAGCUUGCUGUUUCGCUGACGAGUGGCGGACGGGUGAGUAAUGUCUGGGAAACUGCCUGAUGGAGGGGGAUAACUACUGGAAACGGUAGCUAAUACCGCAUAACGUCGCAAGACCAAAGAGGGGGACCUUCGGGCCUCUUGCCAUCGGAUGUGCCCAGAUGGGAUUAGCUCGUAGGUGGGGUAACGGCUCACCUAGGCGACGAUCCCUAGCUGGUCUGAGAGGAUGACCAGCCACACUGGAACUGAGACACGGUCCAGACUCAUACGGGAGGCAGCAGUGGGGAAUAUUGCACAAUGGGCGCAAGCCUGAUGCAGCCAUGCCGCGUGUAUGAAGAAGGCCUUCGGGUUGUAAAGUACUUUCAGCGGGGAGGAAGGUGUUGAGGUUAAUAACCUCAGCAAUUGACGUUACCCGCAGAAGAAGCACCGGCUAACUCCGUGCCAGCCGCCGCCGUAA
rnacentral:rRNA from 1 species